UGGAGAGUUUGAUCCUGGCUCAGGACGAACGCUGGCGGCGUGCCUAAUACAUGCAAGUCGAGCGGACUUGAUGGAGUGCUUGCACUCCUGAGAGUUAGCGGCGGACGGGUGAGUAACACGUAGGCAACCUGCCCUCRAGACUGGGAUAACUACCGGAAACGGUAGCUAAUACCGGAUAAUUUAUUUCRCAGCAUUGUGGAAUAAUGAAAGACGGAGCAAUCUGUCACUUGGGGAUGGGCCUGCGGCGCAUUAGCUAGUUGGUGGGGUAAYGGCUCACCAAGGCGACGAUGCGUAGCCGACCUGAGAGGGUGAACGGCCACACUGGGACUGAGACACGGCCCAGACUCCUACGGGAGGCAGCAGUAGGGAAUCUUCCGCAAUGGGCGAAAGCCUGACGGAGCAACGCCGCGUGAGUGAUGAAGGUUUUCGGAUCGUAAAGCUCUGUUGCCAAGGAAGAACGUCUUCUAGAGUAACUGCUAGGAGAGUGACGGUACUUGAGAAGAAAGCCCCGGCUAACUACGUGCCAGCAGCCGCGGUA
rnacentral:rRNA from 1 species